CUUAAAAGUUGAGCCUUAGAUUGGAUGAUUACUAUUGGAGCUUAGCUUUGAGGACUUGAUAGAAGUGACCCGUUCUAAGAGUGCGGUGUAGAGCUAGUUUCCCUUGGAGUUGUAGCUUGGUUUAAAUGGUUUAGUUUAGAAUUCAAAAUGUUGUAUUAUAGUUGAUUUGUAAUUCGAUUAGUGAAUUGUUGUAAUAUGGAUUACAGUUAGAAAGCUUUGUAGCCUGUGCGUUUGGGCUUAGUGGUGGUCCAAGCGUGGCAUAACACCCCAUUGGUUUAGAGUUUGAAUUCGCUUCCGCAUUUGUUUUCAGAAUGGUUAGUAAGAAAGAUUGUUUAUUUAUGAUUAA